rnacentral:rRNA from 1 species
GACAGAGGGUGCAAACGUUGUUCGGAAUUACUGGGCGUAAAGCGCGUGUAGGCGGCCAUCUAAGUCGGGCGUGAAAUCCCACGGCUCAACCGUGGAAGUGCACUCGAAACUGGAUGGCUAGAGUCCUGGAGAGGAAGGUGGAAUGCUUGGUGUAGAGGUGAAAUUCGUAGAUAUCAAGCGGAACACCGGUGGCGAAGGCGGCCUUCUGGACAGUGACUGACGCUGAGGAGCGAAAGCGUGGGGAGCGAACAGG